AGACCGAUAGCAAACAAGUACCGUGAGGGAAAAUUGAAAAGAACUUUGAAGAGAGAGUUAAAUAGUACGUGAAACUGUGUGGUGGUAAACGGAGGGGUUCUCGAAGUUUCUGCAGGGAACUCAGGCUUGGUCUUUGCUCGCCUUGUUGUCUUUGAUCAGCAAUGACUUGACAGCUUGUGCUGGCUCUGUCCCGGCUGCAUUUCCCCUGCAGUUUACCACAGGAACCAUUUGAUAGGGACCAAACGGCUUGGGUGAAGUUGUCGGUUCUGCUGGCAGCCCCUUGUUUGUGGCUCUCUGUCAGAUGGGUAUUUAAGUGGACUCGUAUAGCGAGCAAUGCUCUGUUGCGGUCCUCAUCUCUCUGUGGAGUAGGUCGGUGGCCCCUCCGACCCGUCUUGAAACACGGAC
rnacentral:rRNA from 1 species